CCUACGUGAGGCAGCAGUGGGGAAUAUUGCACAAUGGGGGAAACCCUGAUGCAGCGACGCCGCGUGAGUGAAGAAGUAUUUCGGUACGUAAAGCUCUAUCAGCAGGGAAGAAAAUGACGGUACCUGACUAAGAAGCCACGGCUAACUAAGUGCCAGCAGCCGCGGUAAUAAGUAGGGGGCAAGCGUUAUCCGGAUUUACGGGGUGUAAAGGUAGCGUAGACGGCAGCGCAAGUCUGGAGUGAAAUCCCAUGGCUUAACCAUGGAACUGCUUUGGAAACUGUGCAGCGAGAGUGCAGGAGAGGUAAGCGGAAUUCCUAGUGUCGCGGUGAAAUGCGUAGAUAUUAGGAGGAACACCAGUGGCGAAGGCGGCUUACUGGACUGUAACUGACGUUGAGGCUCGAAAGCGUGGGGAGCAAACAGGAUUAGAUACCCCAGUAGUC
rnacentral:rRNA from 1 species